UACGGAGGGGGCUAGCGUUGUUCGGAAUUACUGGGCGUAAAGCGCGCGUAGGCGGACCUGCAAGUCGGGGGUGAAAGCCCGAGGCUCAACCUCGGAACUGCCUUCGAUACUGCGGGUCUCGAGUCCGGGAGAGGUGAGUGGAAUUCCUAGUGUAGAGGUGAAAUUCGUAGAUAUUAGGAAGAACACCAGUGGCGAAGGCGGCUGCACUGGCUCGGUACUGACGCUGAGGCGCGAAAGCGUGGGGAGCAAACAGG
rnacentral:rRNA from 1 species